rnacentral:rRNA from 1 species
CCUACGGGAGGCAGCAGUGAGGAAUAUUGGUCAAUGGAGGCAAAUCUGAACCAGCCAUGCGGGGUGCAGGAAGACGGUUGUAUGGAUUGUAAAUUGCUUUUGUACAGGAAGAAAUUAUCCAUCGUGAGGGAGGAUGACAGUACGUAAGAAUAAGGAUCGGCUAACUCCGUGCCAGCAGCCGCGGUAAU